AUAACGCAGCGAAAGUUGCGCUAAUACCGCAUACGAUCUACGGAUGAAAGCGGGGGAUCGCAAGACCUCGCGCGAUUGGAGCGGCCGAUAUCAGAUUAGGUAGUUGGUGAGGUAAAGGCUCACCAAGCCAACGAUCNGUAGCUGGUCUGAGAGGACGACCCAGCCACACUGGAACUGAGACACGGUCCAGACUCCUACGGGAGGCAGCAGUGGGGAAUUUUGGACAAUGGACGCAAGUCUGAUCCAGCCAUUCCGCGUGCAGGAUGAAGGCCCUCGGGUUGUAAACUGCUUUUGUACGGAACGAAAAGGUUUGUCUUAAUACGAUGAGCUCAUGACGGUACCGUAAGAAUAAGCACCGGCUAACUACGUG
rnacentral:rRNA from 1 species